UUGAAAUAUUCAAAGUUUUAAAAUGUCUUUGGAACAUUUUCACCUUUGCUGUAUUGAACUUUCGGCUUUUCUCUUCUUCUUGGAUACAACGGAUAUUUGACAAGUCAUUGAUUUGAAUAAACCAAACAGUGAUAUAGAAGGAGUUCAUAUUAUAGCAUGCGUGGUGAAUGCUGUAUACAUAUAUAUAUAAGUGGAUGAUCUUUGCUGGACUCGAAUUUUCAUGAUGACUUUCUUGAUGUUGUGUGACCACACCACAUGAGAGAAAUACUUCAGAGAUGGCCAGAUGACUUCUGAGAGAAGGGACAAAUAUUUUAUAUCUGUCGGUCAUUUGACUACAGCCAUGCUGGAGCCCCACUUUUAGUCAAACAAAUUGACCUCAGGACUUAUUCUUGGUAAUGAUACAUCUUUACUUUUCAAGGCUGAAGUUUACUGGUUCAACAUUAUGAGUAAGAAGGCUUGUGUUUCUUGAUGCAUUCCACAGUUUAUUAUAUACUUUAAAUGCACCAAGAAUCACGAUUCUUCUGGCUCCCUUCAUCACUGAACAUAAAAAAAAACAAGGAAGGAAUUCUGAGAAAGAUAAUGAAUCCAAAAGAUAAAAGCAAUUAUA